GAUGAACGCUGGCGGCGUGCCUAACACAUGCAAGUCGAACGGAGUCCAGCCUUUAGGACCUUCGGGUCAAAGAGGGGAAGACUGAGUGGCGGACGGGUGAGUAACACGUGGGCAACCUGGCUCAUAGAGGGGGAUAACAGAGAGAAAUUUCUGCUAAUACCGCAUAAGCACACACUGCCGCAUGGCAGAGGGUGAAAAGAGAAUCGCUAUGAGAUGGACCCGCGUCUGAUUAGCCAGUUGGCAGGGUAAGAGCCUACCAAAGCGACGAUCAGUAGCCGAUCUGAGAGGAUGAACGGCCACAUUGGGACUGAGACACGGCCCAAACUCCUACGGGAGGCAGCAGUGGGGGAUAUUGCACAAUGGGGGGAACCCUGAUGCAGCGACGCCGCGUGAGUGAAGAAGUAUUUCGGUAUGUAAAGCUCUAUCAGCAGGGAAGAUAAUGACAGUACCUGAAUAAGAAGCCCCGGCUAACUACGUG
rnacentral:rRNA from 1 species